UACGGGGGGGGCGAGCGUUGUUCGGAAUUAUUGGGCGUAAAGGGCGCGUAGGCGGUGUGGUAAGUCUGAUGUGAAACCUCCAGGCUCAACUUGGAGCUUGCAUCAGAAACUGCCGUGCUAGAGUGUGGGAGAGGAGAGUGGAAUUCCUGGUGUAGCGGUGAAAUGCGCAGAUAUCAGGAGGAACACCGGUGGCGAAGGCGGGUCUCUGGGCAACAACUGACGCUGAGGAGCGAAAGCGUGGGGAGCGAACAGG
rnacentral:rRNA from 1 species